rnacentral:rRNA from 1 species
GAUGAACGCUAGCGGCAGGCUUAACACAUGCAAGUCGAGGGGCAACACGGGUAGCAAUACCUGGUGGCGACCGGCGCAAGGGUGCGUAACGCGUGAGCAACAUGCCCUAUACAGGGGGAUAAUCCAGGGAAACUUGGUCUAAUAUCCCAUAGUAUUUAGAGGUGGCAUCACCACUAAAUUAAAGCUUCGGUGGUAUAGGAUUGGCUCGCGUGACAUUAGCUGGAUGGUGGGGUAACGGCUCACCAUGGCGAUGAUGUCUAGGGGUUCUGAGAGGAAGACCCCCCACACUGGGACUGAGACACGGCCCAGACUCCUACGGGAGGCAGCAGUGAGGAUAUUGGACAAUGGAUGGAAAUCUGAUCCAGCCAUGCCGCGUGCAGGAAGACGGCCCUAUGGGUUGUAAACUGCUUUUAAUGGGACAAUAAGGUCUACGUGUAGACUGAUGAGAGUACCAUAUGAAUAAGCAUCGGCUAACUCCG